rnacentral:rRNA from 1 species
GACGAACGCUGGCGGCGUGCUUAACACAUGCAAGUCGAACGAGUGGCGAACGGGUGAGUAACACGUGGGUGAUCUGCCUUGCACUUUGGGAUACGCCUGGGAAACUGGGUCUAAUACAGGAUAGUGCAAGAUGAGCCCGCGGCCUAUCAGCUGGUGGGUGGGGUAAUGGCUACCAAGGCGCGACGGGUCGCGGGCCUGCGAGGGUGUACGGCCACAUGGGGACUGGGGCACGGACCAGACUCCACGGGGAGGCAGCGGUGGGGAUAAUUGCACAAUGGGCGAAAUCCUGAUGCGGCCAUGCCGGGUGUAUGAAGAGGGCCUUCGGGUUGGAAAGUACUUUCAGCGGGGAGGCGUUACUCGCAGAAGAAGCACCGGCUAACUCCGUGCCAGCAGCCGCGGUAAUUC